UACGGAGGAUGCGAGCGUUAUCCGGAAUUAUUGGGUGUAAAGGGUGCGUAGACGGGAAAUUAAGUUAGUUGUGAAAUCCCUUGGCUUAACUGAGGAACUGCAACUAAAACUGAUUUUCUUGAGUACUGGAGAGGAAAGUGGAAUUCCUAGUGUAGCGGUGAAAUGCGUAGAUAUUAGGAGGAACACCAGUGGCGAAGGCGACUUUCUGGACAGUAACUGACGUUGAGGCACGAAAGUGUGGGGAGCAA
rnacentral:rRNA from 1 species